CCUUAAAAGAGUGCGUAAUAGCUCACUGGUCGAGUAGUUGUGCACCGAUAAUUCAACGGGGCUAAGCAUGACACCGAAGCUUUGACAGAAUACUAGAUGUUCUGGGUAGGGGAGCAUUCCGUGUACGGAAGAAGCAGUGGUGGAAACCAUUGUGGACGGGACGGAAGAGAGAAUGCAGGCAUGAGUAACGAAAAGAGGGGUGAGAUCCCCCUCCGCCGAAAGCCUAAGGUUUCCAGGGUAAAGGUAAUCUACCCAAGGGUUAGUCGGCCCCUAAGGCGAGGACGAAAGUCGUAGUCGAUGGGAAGCUGGUCAAUAUUCCAGCACCCCUUAUUGUAUCGAAGGAAUGACGCAUAGGGCGAAACACUGCCGGGCGACGGUUGUCCCGGUCGAAGCAUCGAGCCGAUGAGACUUGCAGUCAAAUGCGCAAGUUGAGGUAAGAUGUGAGCGAGCUGGCCUACGGGUUGGCGAAGAGUGCGUAGUCGUCGUGCCAGGAAAUAGUUUCUAAGAAUAUACAGUAAGGGACCGUACUAUAAACCGACACAGGUGGGCAAGCUGAGAAUGCAAAGGCGUACGGAAGAACUCGCGUAAAGGAACUCGGCAAAAUGCAUGCGUAACUUCGGGAGAAGCAUGGCUUACGAGAGUAAGUCGCAGAGAAAUGGCCAAAGCGACUGUUUACCAAAAACACAAGUCUAUGCGAACCAGCAAUGGGAAGUAUAUGGACUGACACCUGCCCGGUGCUGGAAGGUCAAGGGGAGAGGUUAGAUAGCAAUAUCGAAGCUUUGAACUCAAGCCCCAGUAAACGGCGGCCGUAACUAUAACGGUCCUAAGGUAGCGAAAUUCCUUGUCGGGUAAGUUCCGACCCGCACGAAUGGUGUAACGAUUUUGGCACUGUCUCUACGCGAGAUCCGGUGAAAUUGAAGUUCGGGUGAAGAUGCCCGAUACUUGUGGUUAGACGGAAAGACCCCGUGAACCUUUACUUUAACUUGACAUUGGGAUUCGGACCAAGAUGUGUAGGAUAGGUGGGAGACUGAGAACUGUGACCGUCAGGUUGCAGGGAGUCGUCGGUGAAAUACCACCCUUGUUGGUCCGCAUUCCUAACCCACGCCGUCAUCCGGUGUGGGGACCGUGUCAGGCGGGAAGUUUGACUGGGGCGGUCGCCUCCUAAAGGGUAACGGAGGCGCGCGAAGGUCUCCUUAGAGCGGUUGGGAAUCGCUCGUCAAGUGUAAAGGCACAAGGAGGCUUGACUGCGAGACAUACAAGUCGAGCAGGUACGAAAGUAGGUCUUAGUGAUCUGGCGGUAGCGAGUGGAAGCGCCGUCACUUAACGGAUAAAAGGUACUCCGGGGAUAACAGGCUGAUCUUGCCCAAGAGUUCAUAU
rnacentral:rRNA from 1 species